rnacentral:rRNA from 1 species
CCCUUAGAUGUUCUGGGCUGCACGCGCGCUACACUGAAGCGUUCAACGAGUAUUUCACCUUGCCCGGGAGGGUUGGGUAAUCUUUUUAAAACGCUUCGUGAUGGGGAUAGAUUAUUGCAAUUAUUAAUCUUCAACGAGGAAUGCCUAGUAGGCGCAAGUCAUCAGCUUGCGUCGAUUACGUCCCUGCCCUUUGUACACACCGCCCGUCGCUCCUACCGAUUGGGUGUGCUGGUGAAAUGUUCGGAUCGGCCGUUUGUCGCGGUUUCCGCGUCAUGUGGCUGAGAAGUUCAUUAAACCCUCCCACCUAGAGGAAGGAGAAGUCGUAACA